rnacentral:rRNA from 1 species
AGGGGGGUUUGGAUCUGGCUCAGGACGAACGCUGGCGGCGUGCUUAACACAUGCAAGUCGAACGGAAAGGCCCUGCUUUUGUGGGGUGCUCGAGUGGCGAACGGGUGAGUAACACGUGAGUAACCUGCCCUUGACUUUGGGAUAACUUCAGGAAACUGGGGCUAAUACCGGAUAGGAGCUCCUGCUGCAUGGUGGGGGUUGGAAAGUUUCGGCGGUUGGGGAUGGACUCGCGGCUUAUCAGCUUGUUGGUGGGGUAGUGGCUUACCAAGGCUUUGACGGGUAGCCGGCCUGAGAGGGUGACCGGCCACAUUGGGACUGAGAUACGGCCCAGACUCCUACGGGAGGCAGCAGUGGGGAAUAUUGCACAAUGGGCGGAAGCCUGAUGCAGCAACGCCGCGUGCGGGAUGACGGCCUUCGGGUUGUAAACCGCUUUCUGCCUGUGACNAAGCGUUGAGUGAC